CAUUUAAAGAAAGCGUAAUAGCUCACUGGUCGAGUCGGCCUGCGCGGAAGAUGUAACGGGGCUAAACCAUGCACCGAAGCUGCGGCAGCGACACUAUGUGUUGUUGGGUAGGGGAGCGUUCUGUAAGCCUGUGAAGGUGUGCUGUGAGGCAUGCUGGAGGUAUCAGAAGUGCGAAUGCUGACAUAAGUAACGAUAAAGCGGGUGAAAAGCCCGCUCGCCGGAAG
rnacentral:rRNA from 1 species